GGGUUAAAUCAUCCCUCAUCUAAAAAAGCUUCUAUCUCAUAUGACAACUGUGGGGGGGGAAGCCGUUGCUCAACUAGUGGGACUCACCUACCAUUCUCAUCCCUCUGCGGGAUAUAGGUUUUAAGGGGUUGGUCCCAUCAUUCAAGUAGCCUGCCACAAAUUUCCAGAGCCUGGAGGUGGAGCAGUCUUUAAGAUGUGAGACCCUUCAUCCAAAAAACUGAAGCGGCCUCGACAGACAUUAAGUGAAUACCAUGCAAUAGCACCCAAUUGACAAUAUCAUGCCAUAUUGGGCCCAAAUUCAGGUUGUCUUCUUUGGCUUUAUGAUCUUGCGGAAGUAGGCGGAGUUCAUCAAUCAUGCGGAUGGACUCGGAAACAUUUUCAGGUGAGAUAAAGUCCAAAACCACAUUUACGCAAGACUGCAUAUCAAAAGUGCCAAAUGCUAGAAAUUAUAUAAGCGUAUUGAUAUAUUUUUUUAUUCACCUCAAGAAACUGCGAUGAACAGCCUCUUUGUGCAAAUCAAUAUAAAAUGCUCAAAUGAAGGAUAAAAAAUUAGAGAAAAGUGGCCAUAUCAUUUACAGCUAAGAUUAUACAAAUCAAAAGCAGUUAAUG